UACGUAGGGUGCAGGCGUUAAUCGGAAUUACUGGGCGUAAAGCGUGCGCAGGCGGCUCCUUAAGUCAGAUGUGAAAUCCCCGGGCUCAACCUGGGAACUGCAUUUGUGACUGUAGAGCUGGAGUGCGGCAGAGGGGGAUGGAAUUCCGCGUGUAGCAGUGAAAUGCGUAGAUAUGCGGAGGAACACCGAUGGCGAAGGCAAUCCCCUGGGCCUGCACUGACGCUCAUGCACGAAAGCGUGGGGAGCAAGCAGG
rnacentral:rRNA from 1 species